UUGGUGAAUAGGACAGCAGGAGAGUGGUUUACUGUGUUCAGUCUGUUGUAUCAUUCUUCUUCUUACCUCUGCAGGAAUGCAGAAGACUGCAAAGCAAUAGCAGUGCAUAGUGAAAAAACACCUGUGAACUGGCCCCUAAGGAUAGCUGUGUAUGCAACAGUGUUUUGGCAUUUGUUUAAUAAAAAUACUGAAUUUUUAAAGAAUUAUUCUACCAAAUUCUGAAGCAUGCAAAAACAAAUCAAAAGCAAUUGCUAGUCUGGCUCUUUAAAAGAAGACUGAGGGUAUAUCUGCAUGUGUGCCAUGUCUGCCCUUUUUAGAAAGAGAAGAUUCUACUUGCUUCAAAUUUAAACCUAAGGAGUCGCCAGGGAAAAUGCUGAUAUUGAUUUAAUUAAGAUGGCCUACAAUGGAGCUUCCAAAAGCAAUAAAGGAAGAGUUGGACCAAACUGCCAGCCAAGCACCUUUCUACAGUCCUCAUCCUGAAACAUGCUGAGCACCUGCAACUUGAUAUGCAAAUGGAUUUAGGCCAAAUAGCAAAUGUUGUGCUUGCCAGCUUGCUGUGGCUGCCAAGAUAAUUAACACCAUUAGAGACAGUGGCCCUGAUUCUCAAGAGCACAAUCCUCCAAUCUGCAAGGCAUUUCUUAUCUAAAGCCCAAUACCUGUUUCUACUAGUUAAGGUUUACUAAUGAAAGAUUGAAAGACAGACAUCAACAGCACUGCAUUAUUCCAGACUGGCUAUUCUACAGAAAUAAUCAAUCUGAAGUUAUGGAGGCCUUAUUUCUUUUGAUCACAUACAAAGUCUCUCUGACUUGCAAUGGAGAAUAAGUAGAUCAGCUCAUGCCCUCAUUAUUAUGAAAAGCUGAACAAGCUAUCUUGUUUGAGCAGUUGACCGAAUGCUUUCUCAAUAAAUGAGCUUCCAAAGAAGAUAUAAUUCAAGCCCCCAUAUAAAUGUCUUGAAUAUUUGACCGAAUCACCCUUCCAUAAAUUCCUGUUGACUGCAUAUUUCCCCUUGGAGUUAAUUUAUGAAAAAGGUAAUUAGAAAUAUUGAGGCUCUCCUAACAGUGAUUCCGAUAGGACUGGCCAAGAAGAGUAGGGUAGAGUAGCUGUUACCAGCCUUGUCUAGGUCAGGCAGAGUGGAUAGUGUAAUGUUAAAGCUAACAAAUGAUCUCAAAUUGAAACAAUUAAACAGAUAGGAAUCUCAUGAACCACUGAUCAAUCAGUUAUGGGAUGCACAGUUUUGGCUCUUGAUAAAGAUUUGUUUUUGAGAUGGUUAGGAGGUUAUUUAAUGAAUCCUCUAAAUUUCACAAGAAUUGACUUUCAGAUGAUCUUGAAGAGGUUGCAAAUCGGUGUACACAGUAGUGACAGUGAGAUCAUGCUCUGGAUACUGGUAGCCUGUUGCAUCUGUUCAGACACAAAGGGGAUGAUGCCUGCUACACUAAUGACUUUUAUUUUCCCCCCUCUAUCUCCAGCCAAUUCUGCUUGUAUGCAAUGCAAGACAUGCCCAAAUACCUCUACA